AUUGAACGCUGGCGGCAGGCCUAACACAUGCAAGUCGAACGGUAACAGAAAGCAGCUUGCUGCUUUGCUGACGAGUGGCGGACGGGUGAGUAAUGUCUGGGAAACUGCCUGAUGGAGGGGGAUAACUACUGGAAACGGUAGCUAAUACCGCAUAACGUCGCAAGACCAAAGAGGGGGACCUUCGGGCCUCUUGCCAUCGGAUGUGCCCAGAUGGGAUUAGCUAGUAAGUGGGGUAACGGCUCACCUAGGCGACGAUUCCUAGCUGGUCUGAGAGGAUGACCGGCCACACUGGAACUGAGACACGGGCCAGACUCCUAGGGGAGGCAGCAGUGGGGAAUAUUGCACAAUGGGCGCAAGCCUGAUGCAGCCAUGCCGCGUGUAUGAAGAAGGCCUUCGGGUUGUAAAGUACUUUCAGCGGGGAGGAAGGGAGUAAAGUUAAUACCUUUACUCAUUGACGUUACCCGCAGAAGAAGCACCGGCUAACUCCGUGCCAGCCGCCGCAGUAA
rnacentral:rRNA from 1 species